GCCAAUACUUGGUUCUACGGAGUUGUGAAACCAAGUCAAAAUCUGUGCAUUCCCUGUGUUCCAUUUUCCCAAGGCAGUGGCAUACCCUGGGUCUUUUGGAUCAGAAGGAGGUAGCGUAGAACCGUCUACGUAUCCCCACAUUUCUUUACCAACAACGAAAUUUUUCAUCACAUGAGCCCAAUAGGAGUAGUUGUUACCGGUCAAACGAACACUAAUAGCCUGAUUUUUAUCGCCAGACAUGAUGCUAACAGAGAAACGCAGUCAAAAAAGAAAACAGAAUACCAGAGUACCAAUCUGCCUUAGACUGGUUCGUCGGAGUUGUAACAGAGGUUGCCGGAGCUACUGCAGUGCCUGCAAGUGCUGCUGGAGGUUGUCGGAGUGUGGGUAAGUCACCGGCGGUUGGAGAGGGAUGGGUGUCGGCUGCUGUGGGUAUUUCUUGUGAUUUGAGUUGCUGAAAAACAGAGAGAUAGGGAACGAUAGUAGCUGACAGAGGGAAGGAGAUUUGAGGAUAGAAGACUGAUUGGAAAACAGGUUAGGGUUUCGGAAUCGGCUCUGAUACCAUGAUAGAAAACAGAGAAACAGAGACGGAAAAUACUGAUAUUAUUUCUGAAUGAAUUACAAUGAGGUGAGUACAUCUUUAAAUAGAGUAAAGCUAUGCCUAAGAAAGGAAGAUUACAAGAUUUGAUUACGAUAUGAUUACCCUAUGAUUACGCUAUGAUAUGAUUACCCUAUGAUUAUGCUAUGAUUUGAUUACGAUACAUGUCCUAAAAUAGCAUAUUACAAGAAGAUACAGAAUAUAUAUUCUAGAUACAGAAUAUAUAUUCACAGUAUGAUCGUAGGAUUCAUAGCACUCGUAACUAGACCGGAUUAACUUGCUUCAUUCAGUGUUCUUAAAAACAUUUAACUUUAGAUUGAAAAAGAUACCCCGCAAGAUGCGAACCCUUAUGGUCGCCGUUUACCCAUGCGCAGCGGAGAAUGAGUUUUGGACCUCCAUUCCCCUGUUCACAUGGGCUCUGACAAUGCCCAGGUUCGUCUCACGAAUAUUCUUAAUUAACCUAAAAUUGCCCUUUCAAUUUUUAUGUCAGAAAAUAGGAGCAGAACGUAUCCAAUCUGGCACGGUGUGCUAAUCACCCCGCUACCCUACCCCAACGACUACUCACUCAUCAUUGAGCAAUAAAUAAAAGAAACCUUAAUUUAAGACAUGCUUCUAUUACGCAAGAUAAAAAAUAAACAAGAAAUAUCAACUAAUCAAAUAUCAACGAAUAACUUUUAUAAAGAACUGAAAUUAAAAUGAGUUACCAAAGUGCAAGUAAUUGAACAAAACUUGAAAACUAAACAAUAUUGAAUCUCGCGGCAGCCCCGUUCUUCGUUUCUACUGUCCGAAUCCCCUUGCCUCUGUUUGUGAGUGAUGCUUUUAUAUGCUACAGUAGCCGACAAACAAUUCCUUCAUGAGUGGACCAAAAAGUCUCUUGCAAAAACCCUUUUUUUCCAAACAUGGCCCACUGCCGAGAAAUUGGCUUAGGCCCCAUUCUUUUCCUAGGUCAAAGACUUGGUCAAAAUAUCAAAAAUAUUAUUCCUCUCUUGGGCCCACCAAAACAUGCAUCACUUCUGUGUUAUUUUGCUACCACUUUCACUUCCGAAACUAUGUGCGCAGUAGGAGCAAAACUAGUAAGGCCCAAUCCAUAAUCAAUUCUUUUAGCUCUAUCCACGUAACUUUAAUUUACGGUUUUAACGUAUAAAGCCUCCAAACACCUACAAUACAAAAGUCAAGCAUUAAGCUCCGAGUAAUGAUAUAAAUAGACUUAGCAAGGAUAAAUUAAGGGGUGUUAAUGUGAACAUUUACGCGCCUAUCAAAGACUUCUGUAAGUGCAUCAACAUCUCACAGGCAAGGAAAAGAGGUAAACAGACUGAAUAUAGAAUCUCAAGAGGAUGUUGAUAGUGAUGGAAAUUUGAAGAGGAAGAAGACAUCAAGGUGGAGGAGAAAGGUGAACUAGUAAAGGAAAUUGCUAGCUUAAAACCUUCGGCAAGGAUCAAGCUAAAUCACCCUGAGGCACAAGUAAUUGGUAAGGUCACUGACCCUAUGAAAACUUACAAGCAAGUUCGAGAUGAGGUAAACUUUAUAUGCUAUGUGUCCUUAAUAGAACCAAAAAAUAUUAAGGAAGCAUUACUUGAUGAAUGUUGGAUCACUGCAAUGCAUGAUGAGUUACAUCAAUUUGAACGUAAUGAUGUGUGGAAAUUGGUUCCUAGACCGGUUAAUACUAAUAUCAUUGGAACAAAAUGGAUUUUCAAGAAUAAAACUAAUGAAGAAGGUGUAGUGGUUCGAAAUAAGGCUAUACUUGUUGCUCAAGGGUAUACUCAAGUAGAGGGAGUUGAUUUUGAUGAGACCUUUGCAUCAGUAGCCCGUUUAGAAUCUAUUCGUCUUAUGCUUACGGUAGCAUGUUACUUUUAAACUUUUUCAGAUGGAUGUAAAAAGUGGUAUUAUUAAAAAGGAGGUUUAUGUUUAGCAACCAAAAGGUUUUGAAGAUCCUCACAAGCCGGAUCAUGUUUUUCAUUUAGAGAAGGCUCUCUACGGUUUAAAACAAGCUCCUCAAGUAUGGUAUGAAUGAUUAACCUAUUUUUUAAUUCAAAAUGGUUUUACCAGAGGAAACGUCGAUAAGACCCUUUUUGUUAAAUGUGAGAGUAAACAUAUUCUUGUUGCACAAAUUUAUGUUGAUGCUAUAAUCUUUGGCUCUACAUCUCAAUCCCUAGUAAAUAUUUUUCUGACACAAUGGAAAGUGAAUUUGAGAUAAGCAUGAUGGGAGAAUUGUCAAAUUUUAUUGGUCUUCAAGUCAAACAGGUUGAUAAAGUUCUUUAUUUCUCAAUCUAAGUAUGCUAAAGGAAUUGUUAGUAAGUUUGGUCUAGAAUUUGCCAAACAUGCUCGAACCCCUAUGAGCACAACCACUAAACUAGCUCGUGAUAGUGAAAAUGCCGACGUUGAUAAGACAUUGUAUCGGAGUAUGAUAGGAAGUCUUCUUUAUUUGACUGCAAGUCGUCCUGACAUAGCAUUUAGUGUCAGUCUUUGUGCUCGUUAUCAGGCCUAUCCUAAAGAGUCGCGUCUUUCUGCGGUGAAACGUGUUAUGAAGUAUGUUAGUGGAACUCUUGGUCAUGGGAUUUGGUUUACUCGAGAUACUACCGCUAGUUUGGCUGGGUAUUGUGAUGCCGAUUAGGUAGGUUGUGCAGAUGAUAGGAAAAGUACCUUUGGGGGAUGCUUCUACUUAGGAAAUAAUCUUGUCUCAUGGCUUAGUAGAAAGCAAAAUUCUAUAUCCUUAUCCACAGCUCAAGCUGAAUACAUUGCAGCGGGUAGUGGAUGUACUCAAUUGCUUUGGAUGAAACAGAUGCUUGCUGACUACGGUAUUUACCAAGAAACUAUCGCUCUCUACUGUGACAACACUAGUGCUAUCAAUAUCUCUAAAAACCCUGUUCAACACUCUCGUACUAAGCAUAUUGAUAUCUGUCAUCACUUUAUUCGCGAUCUUGUUAAGGAUGGUACCAUUCAAUUAGAUUUUCUAGAUACUGAACAUCAGAGGGCUGAUCUAUUCACUAAACCCCUAGAUUAUCUUCGUUUCGACACUCUUCGCAAGUCUAUUGGAGUGUGCUUUAUUGAUUAAGCUUUGCCUUGUCUUUUGGUUCCUAUUGCAUGUUGUUUUUUUGUUUUUUUCCCUCUCUUUUUUGUCUUCUAGUCUACGGUCCUUCCAGUGUUGUUCUUAAUGUAUCUAUUUAUGAUAAUACCAAAAAAAAAAAAAAAAGACGUUGCAUUCAUUUUCUUUUAGCAUUGAGUUCUUGUGUUGCUAUGUUUGAAUCAUCUCUGGGGAUUAGUUAGCUGCUACUAUUGUUUAUGAACAUGGUCAUGAUAACCUUGCUUGAGCACAUUCUAUCUCUCUCUUCAUUAAGUUCUCACGGAGGUGGAGUGUGUCUUCUAUUUUUCCCCCGAGAUUGACUUUUUAGCCUUUUUUAGAUAUUCACGUUGGAGUUGAAUAAGAAUAAAUUAAAAAAAAAGAAGAAAGGGAUAACAAGGAGGUUAUAUGUAUGGUAUGUUAUCUCUCAAGCUUUUCACUUAGUAACUGAGCCUCUAGCCUCAGUAAGUAGUGAGUUUUUGUGUCAAACGGUGGAGAGUUAUGAGAGUGCCUUAUGUGGUUGGCUUAGGUUCGUAGCCUUUUUGACUCGAGUGAUUAAGUCCGUUGGGGUGUUCUAUACAUCUAGUGCCCUAAGGCCAUCUAGUUUGGGUGUCGUUGAUUAAAACCUCGCUACAAGGGUUAAUUAGAAAGCUCAAGGGACUGAGGCAUUGCACAACCACAUUGUGUACUUUAGUAGAUGUUGAGGGGGAGUUUCGGUUGUUUGAAUACCCAACUGGCUUGGUUUAACUUCUCUAGGGGGAGUUUUCUAGACCUCUCAUGCAUUUGCAAGAAACCAAGUUGGCUUUUGCUACUUUAUGAUGGGCUUUGACGUGAUCACACACUCACUCUUGUCACCGUGUCAUGACCAUUGGUGCAUUCUGUAUCUUUAUAUUUCAAAAUGAUAAGGUUUUGGCAUGUGCCUCUGCAUGGUUUGUUAUGUGUGUGUUCAUCGAUUCUUGUAGCCGCCUCCUAAUUUUGUGUAUGCAUCUUAUAGUGGAGCUUUGGCUUGGCUUUCUUGAUAUAUUUUCUUGUGUUCUCGGUUUAUUGAUUUAUGGUACAUUUGGUGUCUAAGUUUAUCCUUGAUACAUAUAAUAUAUUAUGUGGGUGUGCUUCUUGAUUUCCAUAAAAAUAACAGACACAUUAACAUAAACUUUUUUGGUUUGAUCAGUUGUGUGAGAGGAUGAGACGUGCUUUGCAUAUUUUCUGUGUUUUCUAGACUUCCGCUGGCGUAUUUCGAGUCUUCACGAAUUCAGCCUAACUCUCUUCAAGCAGUUCCAACCUUGGUUUAUUGACAUGGCUUGGCUUUCUUGAUAUAUUUUCUUGUGUCCACAGUUUAUUGAGUUAUGGUACAUUUGGUGUCUAAGUUUAUCCUUGAUACAUAUAAUAUGUUAUAUGUGUGUGCUCCUUGAUUUCCAUAAAAAUAACAGACACAUUAACAUGUUGUGUGAGAGGGUGAGACGUGCUUUGCAUAUUUUCUGUGUUUUCUAGACUUCCGCUGGCGUAUUCCGAGUCUUCAUGAAUUCAGCCCAACUCUCUUCGAGCAAUUCCAACCUCCUUGCAAUCCUCCUCAGUACUACUACUUUAUGGUUUUGUUGUGCUCGUACCUGUUAGGGACCCCGGCUAUCUUAUUAUUAUAUUUUUGUGUGUGGUCUCGUUCCGUUUAUUAUUUACUUAGCGCUUAGUACUUUUGGGAUAUCGGUUACCUGGCGGUGCCUUUUAUCUCUAGCUUAUGGUCAACAGUUUUGGAUGGUGCAUACGGAUUGUGGUUAAUGCUUCCUGAUGCAUUAAGGUGCUUGAUGUUCCUUCUUUAUGGCUAACUGAUAUUGGUGUCCAGAUACCCGUGCUGGUUCAACGUUUGUUUUUGCAGUACUGUAAGCUCAUUUAAGUGAAGUAUUGGAUAGUGGUGAUUUUGAUUUUUAAGCAGCUUGUUUCUGGAUCCUAAUUACGCCUCAGGUUAUUGGUCUAUUGGUUCUCCCUUCACCAUUGUUUACGAAUAUGCCUAAGGUAGUACAUGGUUUGUUGGCUGCUAUGGUUUAUUUUCUGAUGCCUCUAUUAUUACUGCUCUCUCUUCAGUAAUUUUUUUACCCUUUGCCCUUCCGUGACAAAAAGGGGGAGUAAUGCUCAUGUGCUAAUGCUAAGAGUCUGUGAGUGUCAUUGUGUUGGUGCAGCUUUGACAGGUCUCUAGCUCAGUUUGUAUGUUUUUUCUUUGGGUGUGUUUUGUCAUAGAAGUGCCAAAGGGGGAGAUUGAAGCUCCAUAGGCCGAGCUCCCUUUUUUGUUGGCACAUUCAUGACAAAAACACACACUUGAGUGUAAUGUUUUUAAUCGAGUUGUACUUUUCUCUUACACUUUGAUAGAGAGUCAGUGCUAGGAUGUGGAAAGGAAUCUCAAUUUUUGUAUUUGAGUGCGGCAGAUGGUAGUC